rnacentral:lncRNA from 1 species
GUGCAGGUUUGUAACAUAUGUAUACAUGUGCCAUGCUGGUGUGCUGCACCCAUUAACUCGUCAAUAAGGCCUUCAGUAUAUCAAGAUCAGUGGAUCAAAGAAACAUCCUCAAGAAACUAAGAAACAACACAAGAUUCUCUCUGAUGAAAUGCUUAAGUAUAAGGAAAAUGAUGGAAGACACAGAAGAGCAGCAGAAUUGGGUAGAAGACUACUACAGAUGCCAGAUCGCCACUUCUGAAAGAAAGGCUUACGACAACUGGCUCUGUGUUUAAGCCUCGCAGAGGGAGAUGCAAGAGAAGAAGGCUGCCUACAAGCAGCACAGAUAGGAAAUGAUUGAAAAACAGAGAGUGCUGGAGAGACACAUUAGUCAGGAGCCAGCUAGUGGACAACCAGGCAUAGAGAAUCAUCCCCAAAGAGGUCAAUAUGGCUUUGGGAGGGCCCCUUUUUCAGGAUUGCCCUACUUGCUCUACUGCAUGGCUGGCUCUUCAGGACCAUUUGUGGGCUGCCAGACACCUCCUCUGCCUGGGUGGCCUCUGGGAACACGACCACUGCCUCCAUGCACACCACUUGGACAAGCUGAAAUUUGAAGAGGCCCCUGAGCUGUGACAGCCAUGCUGUGGCUCCUACAUAACUUGGAAAAGUAUCCAAUACAUUUUACGCUGCCUGCCCAGUGCUGCCUCAUCUGUCUCUAAUCUUCUGUAGUGUUUCCCCUAAUAAAGGUUUGCAGUCCUA